GUAAGCUACUUGGUUGAAAUGGUAUGACAGACAUUGUAUCUAUCUCUUGACUAUAUAUAUCAUAUAAAGUAGAGAAGUCUAAAAGAAUAAUAAUAAGCUAUGGUCGUGAAUUCAAACUAAUGACUUAUACUAUUCUAAACAUUUGAUAACAACUACUUCUUUAAAGGUUGCCUCCUCCCCUUCUAUAUGAGAUCAAGAACCAAGAAUCUUCAUGGUAAAGCCAUCUUAUUAAAUUAUUGUUCUUCAUUUUGCCAAUGUCAUAAUAUGUGAAGUCUGGCUUGAGAAUGCUCCAAGCACUUGGCUGUGGAAGGAAGAAUGAAAAUUGUAAUAACAAAACCCUAAUUCUAAUAGAAUAUUAACCAUGCUCUAAUUACACUAUAAUAAUGCUAAGCAAGCUUAAUCAAAUUCAAAAAAAUCUCAAAGAAAUUUCAAACAAACAAUAGGAAUUUUUAAAGAAACAUUAGAAAGAACACAAAUGUCAUUCAAAUACAUCUCAAUUCAAUCUUAAUUUAAUUCUAGUUAAAAUCCUAUUGAACUUCAUUCAAACUUUAAGCCAAACUAAUUAAAUCUUAAAUCCUAAUAAAAUCCUAAAUUCUAAAUCAAACCCUAACCAAAUCCUAAACCAAACCUUAAUCCCUAAAUCAAAUCCUAAUCAAAUCCUAAAUCCUAAAUCAAACCCUAAAUCUUAAAUCAAAUCCUAACCGAAUCUUAAACCAAAUCCUAAUCCAAAUCCUAAAUCCUAAAUCAAAUCCUAACCAAAUCCAAAAUCAAACCCUAAUCCAAACUCUAAACCAAACCCUAAUCCAAACCCUAAUUCGAACCCUAAAUCCUAAACCAAACUCUAAUCAAAUCCUAAAUCCUAAAUCAAAUCCUAUCCAAAUUCUAAACCCUCAAUCAAACCCUAAUUCAAAUCCUAAAUCUUAAACCAAAUCCUAACCAAAUCUUAAACCCUAAAUCAAACCCUAAUCCAAAUCCUAGAUCCCAAAUCAAA
rnacentral:lncRNA from 1 species